rnacentral:rRNA from 1 species
AUUGAACGCUGGCGGCAUGCCUUACACGUGCAAGUCGAACGGUAACAGGUCUUCGGAUGCUGACGAGUGGCGAACGGGUGAGUAAUAUAUCGGAACGUGCCCAGUCGUGGGGGAUAACGCAGCGAAAGCUGUGCUAAUACCGCAUACGAUCUAUGGAUGAAAGCGGGGGAUCGCAAGACCUCGCGCGAUUGGAGCGGCCGAUAUCAGAUUAGGUAGUUGGUGGGGUAAAGGCCCACCAAGCCAACGAUCUGUAGCUGGUCUGAGAGGACGACCAGCCACACUGGAACUGAGACACGGUCCAGACUCCUACGGGAGGCAGCAGUGGGGAAUUUUGGACAAUGGGCGCAAGCCUGAUCCAGCAAUGCCGCGUGCAGGAUGAAGGCCUUCGGGUUGUAAACUGCUUUUGUACGGACGAAAAGGACUCUGGUUAAUACCUGGGGCGUACUAUAGGUACGGUAACGGUAAGUAAGUAACGACCGACCGGUACCUAACCGUACGUACGCCGACGACGACG